rnacentral:misc_RNA from 1 species
AUCACGGCCUUGAGACGACCGCCGACCGCGUCGCCGCCGGCAAGCCGGAGCAGGGCACGAUCCGCGUUUCCGCCUAUCAUGAGGGCGGUCACAUCAUCAUCUGCAUCGCCGACAACGGGCGCGGCCUGAACACCGAGCGGAUCAAGCAGAAGGCCGUGCAGAACGGCCUCGUCACCGAAGCCGACGUCGAGAAGAUGACCGAGGCGCAGAUCCACAAGUUCAUUUUCGC